rnacentral:rRNA from 1 species
GACGAACGCUGGCGGCGUGCUUAACACAUGCAAGUCGAACGAGAGCGUAGAGAAAGCUUGCUUUUUCUACAAUCUAGUGGCAAACGGGUGAGUAACGCGUAAACAACCUGCCCUACGGAUGGGGACAACAGCUGGAAACGGCUGCUAAUACCGAAUACGUUCCGAAAGUCGCAUGACUAUCGGAAAAACGGAUGGCCUCUCUUUAUAAGCUAUCGCCGGAGGAGGGGUUUGCGUCUGAUUAGCUAGUUGGAGGGGUAACGGCCCACCAAGGCGACGAUCAGUAGCCGGUCUGAGAGGAUGAGCGGCCACAUUGGAACUGAGACACGGUCCAGACUCCUACGGGAGGCAGCAGUGGGGAAUCUUCCGCAAUAGGCGAAAGCCUGACGGAGCAACGCCGCGUGAGUGAAGACGGCCUUCGUGUUGUAAAGCUCUGUUAUACGGGACGAAUAAUCUUGUGGUUAAUACCCAUGAGAAGUGACGGUACCGUAAGAGAAAGCCACGGCUAACUACGUG